rnacentral:rRNA from 1 species
GGGUUGUGAGGUUAAGCGACUAAGCGUACACGGUGGAUGCCCUGGCAGUCAGAGGCGAUGAAGGGCGUGCUAAUCUGCGAUAAGCGCCGGUAAGGUGAUAUGAACCGUUAUAACCGGCGAUACCCGAAUGGGGAAACCCAGUGUGAUUCGUCACACUAUCAUUAACUGAAUCCAUAGGUUAAUGAGGCGAACCGGGGGAACUGAAACAUCUAAGUACCCCGAGGAAAAGAAAUCAACCGAGAUUCCCCCAGUAGCGGCGAGCGAACGGGGAGGAGCCCAGAGCCUGAAUCAGCAUGUGUGUUAGUGGAAGCGUCUGGAAAGGCGCGCGAUACAGGGUGACAGCCCCGUACACAAAAGCGCAUGUGCUGUGAGCUCGAUGAGUAGGGCGGGACACGUGGUAUCCUGUCUGAAUAUGGGGGGACCAUCCUCCAAGGCUAAAUACUCCUGACUGACCGAUAGUGAACCAGUACCGUGAGGGAAAGGCGAAAAGAACCCCGGCGAGGGGAGUGAAAAAGAACCUGAAACCGUGUACGUACAAGCAGUGGGAGCACAGGUUUACCUGUGUGACUGCGUACCUUUUGUAUAAUGGGUCAGCGACUUAUAU